rnacentral:lncRNA from 1 species
AAAUUAAAUUUAAUUCACGAUUUAAACUCAAAUUUAAAUUUCAAUGUAAAAUAAAUAGAUAGAAGUGCUAUUUUUUAAUAGAUUGAUCAUAAUCGUUCACUUUUAUUUUAAAUAUUUUUAACAGAUUGAUUAUAACUUUUCGUAGAAUUGAAUUUAUAGAUGGAUAUAAAUAUUACUUUUUUUCAAAUUAAUUAUAACCGUUUGUUCUUAUUUGAGAUAAUUUUUUAUAAAUUGAUCAUAAAUUU